GUUUGGAACAGGAAGGAAUUCCUCGUAGACGGGAUGGUUGUGAGCGGGACAGAAACUCCACCACAAGGGUUCUGGGGGUACUACAGGGACUAAAGGAAGCAGUGUGAUCAGUGUGAAAGCAGCAAGGCCAUGAUUUAUUUCUUGGGCGUGUGGUUUUCUCCCGAGGCCUCUGCUUGUUUAUUUUACCCAGCAUCGGUGCCAAAGGAGAUUUCCCCAAAGGGAAAAGUACUGCAGUGGUCGACGCAUUAUAGUCCUUUCCCGUUUGCAAGCUCUCCCACACAUUCCUUCUUCUGUUCCCAAAUCACAGGAGACGACGAGAAAGAGAACAGACCACCUGUCCAGAUAAUUUGCCUUUGGAGUCUGCAGGGCUGGUGAAGGCAUCCUGAGAUGGGGGAGGCCCCUGGGGACCUCCACAGUCAGGGCUCCCACCUCCUCUCCCACACCGCUCUGCCUCAUGCCCUGGGUUGCCUGUCUGACUGUCUCAAGACUGGGGGUUCUCCGGUGAGCAGAUGGCUGCUUAGCGUCUACGCCAUGUGCCUGGCUUUUUCCAGCCACAUCGAAUUGAUCAUCUCCUAAUGACCACAUGGCUCAGAACCUCACAGCACCUGCUUCUGGGGGCCUCUUUCUCCCAAGUCCUCCCAGGGACUUGGCAGCUUCAUCUCUAAGGCCUGCAGAGGCUGUGGCUAUGGCUGUCCAUUGUUCUCGCUCCUUGGCUUCAGUUCAGAGCCAUCAAAUCCCUGCAGCUCGCACACUGGAACAUUCAUAUUUUGGAUAAGGCCCUUGCUGUCAGUGGAAUACAGCAACACACAAGACAGACGCAGUUGCCUUCCCGCUGAGGCUGGACGUCUACAAAGAAACUCUGGACAGCUAUUUGCCAAGGCGAUGUGCACUACAGAUGAGACGCACAAAUGAUAUGACUCAUGGGUGACGCUGGGCAAACCUCGGUGGUUGAGCCCUGUUGGGUUUUCUCAUAGGAGAGCUUUCCAAGGUGAAAGUGUUGGUCACUCUUUCUUCAUCUCAGAUUUAAUCAACUAAGAAGGCUGCAAAUUGAACACCAGUCCACAAAACUCAGGAGUACAUGAAAAGCAUUGUGCCUUAUUUUUAACUAACUCAAAUUCUAUGUCAGUCUCCCUUUUAUGCUGGAUGUUGGCUCUCAAUCUCAGUGGGUUCCUCAUUCUGCCAGACCUGUGUCCAGUUUGGGGGCUUCACGUAGAGCCACCCCAUCACAGGAGAGGGAAGCGUCUUGCUCUUGGUUGCCAUCGCUCCACCCUCUUGUCUUCCGAGCUUUGAUGUUCACCUUCCUUUUCACCAUUCGGAAGCUUCCUGCCAUGAUACAUUGAGACCUCAAUGUUAAUGCCAAUUGGGGUUUGGGGUUCUCAUAAACUCAGAAGUCCAGGAAAAUCGCCUGCUGCCUCCCACACAUGCUGAGGGCAUUCUGGAAUCCUACCACUUACCCGGAGCCUGCUGGCCUCAACUGUUUUGAAGUCUGUGUCUGGGCCAUGCAGGUAAAUGGGAAGAUGCUCUGUGGCCAUAAAAAUACCCGAAGUCCCACCUAAAGCCGAUUCAGGGUCUUCUGCAUUUCAUUGCUAAAAUUGUUCUAUGAUUUCUAUAGUUUUCAGCCUACAGUCAGGGGCCAGGACUUUGCACCCUUGGUAAACCUCAAUCUCUUCUCCUUCCUGGCUUCUACUCCUUUCUCCCUCAAUCCCAAAUCAAGGCCCCUUGAUUGUCUGGAGGUAGGAAAGCCUGGUUCUGGCUCAUGAUAUAGUCUACAUCAUAGCCUUUGUCAUCUCAUGGAUUCACUCAACAACCGUGUAUGGAUGGGGCCACCCAAUAUGUGCCAGGAGUUGAGGACAGGCAGGGUUAUGAUGAUGAAAUAGAUAAGGGGCCCACACUCACGGACCCUGCAGGACAGUGGAGCUGUGGACACAGCAUGCGAGUAAAGACCCAGUGAGCUCACCAGAUAGAUCAUUUAAAUCAGGUGAUAGGACAGUGAAGGGUGGGGGCUGCAUUAGUUUUGGUGGCAAGAGAAGGAUUAUCUUCUGAGAGGAUCCACAAAGUAAAGAGGGCCGGAAUGACUGGGUACAGUGAGGACCGUGGUUGAGGUAGAAGAUGGAGCUCUUUAUUGAGCUCUAGGGAGCCCGUCGGAUGGGACCUACGGGGCUUGAGGGAGCCUAUCGGAUGGGACCUACGGGCUUGGCGGACUUAAUUUUAAAUGUGGAAGAAGCCAUUGCAGAGCCUGAACCUGAGGUGUGGCAUGGUUCGAGUUACUUCAAACCAAAUUUAUUGAAAUGUCUUUGCAUAAAAUGCAAUGCGUAGAUCUUAAGAGUAUAGUGCAAUGAGAUUUGAUAAAUGUAUGCACCAGUGUAACAACUCCUCCAGUCAAGAUAAAGAAACGUCCCUCACUAUUUCCUCAUGCCCCUUCAUAGUCAAUAUCUGAUCCACUCAGCCUAGGCAACAAUUGAUCUGCUUUUAUCACCAUAGAUAUUUGGGUAUGAGUCUUUGUAUGAUCAGCUAUUUUUAUGUUGCUUGGGUAAAUAUUUAGGAAUAGAACUGCUGAGGCCAAGGAUAGAAUAUUUAACUUGAUUGCCGACUGUUUUUCCCAAGUGGUUGUACCACGUUCUGCCUCCACCAGCAUGUGUGAGUUUCCAGGGCUUCUUGUCCUUGCCAGAUACCAGGUGGUUGCAUGCCGUGUCCCAGUGGCUGUUGGGAAUCACAGUAGCUGGGCCCAAGAUGACUCUGGAGGACUUUACAUUUGCCCCCAUCUGUGGGUCCUCCUAUGCCGGUGUUUCCCAAAGCAUGGGCCAUGCGCAUUAUUCUUCCCAAAAUGAUGUCAUGUGGUGCAUAGGAAUGUCAUGGAAUACAAUGGAAUCACUCUGGAAGGAACUUUUCCCUUCUCAGGUGUUGUUUGAAUGUUCCUGAUGUGAUCGAGGAGAUUAACUGCUACUUAACAUCUCUGCACCGCUUGCUAAACUCCUUGUUAAAAUUAUGCCUUUUAUUUUGAAGGAGUUCUAGAUUCACAUGCGUUGUAAGAAAUAACACAGAGAGAUUGCAUUUACUCUUCACCCAGUUUCUCCCAAUGGUAACAUCUUGCGGAACUAUGGUGCAAAAUCAAAACCAAAUCUCUUUUUAUAACAAAGAGAGGGUUCCCACCUCAAGCUCAGAUCCUUCCCUGUGUAGCUAGAACUUAGUAACAGUGUUUUAUUUUAUUAUAUUCAGUUUCAAGGGUUACAUUCUAUUUAUAACGAAUGAUACUGGUUUUCCCUUUACAAUAAUGAUAAAGUUUUAUUACUGAGUAAAUUGAUUUAUGUUU